CGGGGAUACGGCAGGCUCCCCGUCAGACGGCCUGACCGUCCAAGCUCUGC
ncrna:unclassified sequences chromate-resist RNA